rnacentral:rRNA from 1 species
GGGGCUUCUGACGAGGUCUUCAAUUUCUGCCCUAUCAACUUUUGAUGGUAGGAUAGUGGCCUACCAUGGUUUCAACGGGUAACGGGGAAUAAGGGUUCGAUUCCGGAGAGGGAGCCUGAGAAACGGCUACCACAUCCAAGGAAGGCAGCAGGCGCGCAAAUUACCCAAUCCUAAUUCAGGGAGGUAGUGACAAUAAAUAACGAUACAGGGCUUUAUGUCUUGUAAUUGGAAUGAGUACAAUUUAAAUACCUUAACGAGGAACAAUUGGAGGGCAAGUCUGGUGCCAGCAGCCGCGGUAAUUCCAGCUCCAAUAGCGUAUAUUAAAGUUGUUGCAGUUAAAAAGCUCGUAGUUGAACUUUGGGCUUGGAGAAUCGGUCCAACUUUGUUGUGUACUGUCUUCUCCAGGUCUUUCCUUCUGGUUCUCAUUUGGGGUUUACUCCAUUUGUUGAUCCAGGAUUUUUACUUUGAAAAAAUUAGAGUGUUCAAAGCAGGCGUUUUGCUCGAAUAUAUUAGCAUGGAAUAAUAGAAUAGGACGAUUGGUUCUAUUUUGUUGGUUUCUAGGACCAUCGUAAUGAUUAAUAGGGACGGUCGGGGGCAUCAGUAUUCAGUUGUCAGAGGUGAAAUUCUUGGAUUUACUGAAGACUAACUACUGCGAAAGCAUUUGUCAAGGACGUUUUCAUUAAUCAAGAACGAAAGUUAGGGGAUCGAAGAUGAUCAGAUACCGUCGUAGUCUUAACCAUAAACUAUGCCGACUAGGGAUCGGGCGGUGCCUUUUAUUGGCCACUCGGCACCUUACGAGAAAA